UACGUAGGGUGCAAGCGUUGUCCGGAAUCAUUGGGCGUAAAGCGCGCGUAGGUGGCUUCGUAAGUCCGUUGUGAAAGUCAAAGGCUCAACCUUUGAAUGCCGAUGGAUACUGCGAAGCUAGAGUACGGAAGAGGCGAGUGGAAUUCCUGGUGUAGCGGUGGAAUGCGCAGAUAUCAGGAGGAACACCCGUGGCGAAGGCGGCUCUCUGGAACGCAACUGACGCUGAGACGCGAAAGCGUGGGGAGCAAACAGG
rnacentral:rRNA from 1 species